GACAGAGGGUGCAAACGUUGUUCGGAAUUACUGGGCGUAAAGCGCGUGUAGGCGGUCCGUUAAGUCGGUUGUGAAAGUCCAAGGCUCAACCUUGGGGAUGCCGGUCGAUACUGCCGGACUAGAGUUCGGAAGAGGCGAGUGGAAUUCCCGGUGUAGCGGUGAAAUGCGCAGAUAUCGGGAGGAACACCUAUGGGCGAAGGCAGCUCGCUGGGACGUUACUGACGCUGGAGAACGGCGAAAGACGUGGGGAGCAAACACGG
rnacentral:rRNA from 1 species